CUGCUUCUGCAGUGUGUUCAACCAUUCAGUCCAUAAGAAGUGCUGCUGUGAAGAGAACAACGGUCACACUGAAUGUUGAACAUCAGCUAGUUGAAACCUUGUUGUCGAGAUGGAACAUUUGCUGUGGAUCAUUCUGGCUGCUCUGUUCUCUGAGUGUAAAGGAGAAGACAGAGUGACCCAGUCAACAGGAGAUGUCAUCGCUACUGAAGGACAGACUGUUACACUCGACUGUACAUUUGAGACGACUUCCAACGUUCCCACUUUGUUCUGGUACAAACAACAAGACAAUGAUUUCCCAAAGUACAUGCUGAAAGGUUUCUCAAGAAAGUAUUUAAAGCUCCAGAGUUCCUCAAAGACAGAUUUGAUGCUUCAAUCAACAAGACAUCAGUUCCUCUGAAGAUCCAGAAGCUUCAUCUGUCAGACUCUGCUGUGUACUACUGUGCUCUGAGGCCCACAGUGACAGGAAACACCACAACUCUGUACAAAAACCUUUGGAGCAAAGACAAUACUGUACAACAUCCACUAGAGGGAGCCUCACUCUGUAACUUCAGUAGUGUUGUUGAUACAGUCUGGAUUCUUUGUUGUGGUGAUGAAAACAACAGAAAAUGAAGCACUGAAGACGAAACUGAGGGAAGUGAUGAUAUGGAGGUGUUGUUGCUUAAAAAUAAUAAUAUGAACAAUAUUUCAUCAUAAUCGAGUGUCAAUGAAAAUCCUCUGACAUCUAAUGGAGCUGAAAUUAAAGUCUGUAACUCAAUUGUUUUUACAAUUAUAAUUGGCUAAUUUUAAAACUAUUUCAAUAAUGCAAA